GUGUCUUUGGAGGGCCCUGAAGGUUUUCCAAGCAGCCAGUAUUUCAGCAAACAUAAACCUAAUUCAGGCCUUUCAUUUCAUGUAUUAUCUACUCCAUGUUCCAUUUCUGACUGAAGUCUAGGUACUGAUAGAUUUUUGCAUUAACAAGUAUUAUCUGUACAUGCAUGCAUGUUUAACUGCCAUUGAUCUAUAUAAUUCAUUCAUUACUGAUGGUUCCAGCCUCCAAGUCUCUACCCCAAGAAACAAAUAGCAAUCCCUUUCAAUUGUCAUUGGUAGCAGCUCACAAUAACGGUUCUUUUAUUAACCUGAGUUACAUGCUCACAGUUUGAUCACGGGACAGUGGGAUGAUGUAAUGGUCUUGUGAGUGGAAUGAUGUAAUUGUCUCAUGACUGUUGGGGUGAUGUUAUGUCACGUGAUGGCAUGUUCCCUACGGUAUUUAAGGAUGCCCGUCAAAGUGUGACACAGUUUUACUUUCUAUUUUAAGGUGCAAACACAUUGUUGCCAGCAGUUUCGCCAAUCGCUGCCAAUUUUUGUUUGUUGCAUCUUUGUUUUCCUUUACAGUCUAGUAUUGGAGAGUGAAGACCUUACCAAACUACGGGAACAAAUGAUCCAGUAAAGUUAAUGACGUUCGGUGUUUUGGAAGUGAUUGACUGUUUGGAAUCUGAAUCGUCCAGGAAAUUGUGCAGGCACGUUUGAGUUAAACCCCUGCAAGAUCAGGAUGGUUUGUGCAGUGUCCACCCUCCAGCCGAAAGAUCAUUCCUCAGCCUCCAAACCGCUGGAGAAAACAAUCAAAGCACAUAAAAUAUCAAGUAACGUGGGCCAGCCAGACCUUUCCACCAAAAGUGCCUCAAGGUGAUGCCUGCCGAAUGUUGUUUUGCUGAACAAAGAGGCUGCUUCAUAGCUACCAGUACUUUUCUCCAGUGACCGCAUUCACACAACAACAGUGUUACAACGAAUUAUUGUAGAAAAGUUUGUCAAAAUAUUCAGUGAUGUAAACUCAAUAAGUUCACACGUCAAUUCACCUCAAAGAGGAGUGUAUAAUAAAAUCAAUAGAUUUAGAAGUGGUAAUAUACAUUCAAAAAAAUCCAGUUUAAUUCUAUGUUUAUAAUUGUUUUAGAUUAAAAUACUAGAAUCCUGUAGAACGGCAGGUAUGUUUUUGAAAAUUGUUAAAUAUCCCAAUUUCAAAUGAAAACUGGAAACUUACUCUGUCACUACAGAGUAAUAAUAAAAGCCAC